rnacentral:rRNA from 1 species
CUGGUUGAUCCUGCCAGACCCGACUGCUAUCGGAUUGGGACUAAGCCAUGCGAGUCAACUCCGCAAGGGGUGGCGCACGGCUCAGUAACACGUAGUCAACCUACCCUGGGGACGGGGAUAACCUCGGGAAACUGAGGCUAAACCCCGAUGGGCCAUGGCUCCUGGAAUGGGCUAUGGCUGAAAUCUACAUGGCCCCAGGAUGGGACUGCGGCCGAUCAGGUUGUUGGUGGGGUAAUGGCCCACCAAGCCUAUAACCGGUGCGGGCUCUGAGAGGAGGAGCCCGGAGAUGGGCACUGAGACAAGGGCCCAGGUCCUAUGGGGCGCAGCAGGCGCGAAACCUCCGCAAUGGGCGAAAGCCCGACGGGGUCAGUCCGAGUGGUUCCCGCUGAGGGAACCUUUUGCCAGCUGUAAACAGGCUGGCGAAUAAGGGGUGGGCAAGUUUGGUGUCAGCCGCCGCGGUAAUACCAGCACCCCGAGUGGUCGGGACGAUUAUUGGGCCUAAAGCAUCCGUAGCCGGCCCAGUAAGUCCUCCGUUAAAUCCAACGGCUCAACCGUUCGGCUGCGGGGGAUACUGCUGGGCUAGGGGACGGGAGAGGCGAGGGGUAUUCCCGGGGUAGGGGUAAAAUCCACUGAUCCCGGGAGGACCACCAGUGGCGAAGGCGCCUCGCUAGAACGUGCCCGACGGUGAGGGAUGAAAGCUGGGGGAGCGAACCGGAUUAGAUACCCGGGUAGUCCCAGCCGUAAACGAUGUAGGCUCGGUGUUGGGCUGCCUCAGUGGCAGCCCAGUGCCGCAGGGAAGCCGUUAAGCCUACCGCCGGGGGAGUACGGCCGCAAGGCUGAAACUUAAAGGAAUUGGCGGGGGAGCACCAC